UACGUAGGGGGCAAGCGUUGUCCGGAAUUAUUGGGCGUAAAGCGCGCGUAGGCGGUUACUCAAGUCGGAUGUGAAAGCCCUCGGCUUAACUGAGGAAGUGCACCCGAAACUGAGUAGCUAGAGUACGAAAGAGGGUCGCGGAAUUCCCGGUGUAGAGGUGAAAUUCGUAGAUAUCGGGAGGAACACCGGUGGCGAAGGCGGCGACCUGGGUCGAUACUGACGCUGAGGUGCGAAGCGUGGGGAGCAAACAGG
rnacentral:rRNA from 1 species